GAUGUGGCUCCCAUCGAAUACCCGGGAUUUUGUGAGAAGUGUGGGUAGUGGGGUGGCUGAGCAAAUCCCGAGGCCUGAGUGCCUCCUUGGGACUCUCCCAUUCCCUCUUCUGACAUGCUAACUCCCAGACUGCCAUCUCUCCUCUGCUAUACAUCCAUAUCAUCCCCCAUGUCCUCUGACAUUCCUCCCUGAACUGUUCCCCUCACUGAUCUGCUUCUACCCAGAUCCAGAGACCUUCUAGGGUCUCUUGCUGCUCUUUCUCUGCUAGCCCUACUAGACAUUGCCCUAGGCAAUGCAGGAGGACGGGCGCUCAUGCCCUCAUCCUCAGGUGGCACUCCAGUCAAUCGUGCAGAUCGACGAGUUCCUCUCAUCUUGUUUUCUGAAACACAGUACACAUCACAUAAACGUUAGCAUCAUAUGGUUCAUGUGGGCACACAUGAACCCGCAUCACAUACAUAUCAUUCAUAUCAUAGCAUUAAUGCACAUGUAUAUAAUCAUGGCAUUUCACAUCAUCAUACAAGACAGGACUCCACAUCCUAUCCUAGUGGACAUGACCUUUCCUAUUGUGCUUGACCUUCUAUAACAUCUAUGAGCCCGACACUCUAGGUCCGACCAUAUGAACCUAGGGCUCUGAUACCAUUCUGUAACGACCCGAAAAUCGGACCGCUACCGGCAUUAGGAUCC
rnacentral:lncRNA from 1 species